rnacentral:rRNA from 1 species
UACGUAGGGGGUUAGCGUUGUCCGGAAUCAUUGGGCGUAAAGCGCGUGUAGGCGGUCCGGUAAGUCCGCUGUGAAAGUCGAGGGCUCAACCUCGAAUGCCGGUGGAUACUGUCGGGCUUGAGUACGGGAGAGGCGAGUGGAAUUCCUGGUGUAGCGGUGGAAUGCGCAGAUAUCAGGAGGAACACCAAUGGCGAAGGCAGAUCUCUGGCCGUAACUGACGCUGAGGAGCGAAAGCAUGGGGAGCGAACAGG